CCUACGGGCGGCAGCAGUGGGGAAUAUUGGACAAUGGGGGGAACCCUGAUCCAGCCAUGCCGCGUGUGUGAAGAAGGCCCUCGGGUUGUAAAGCACUUUCAGUGGGGAAGAACGCCUGGUGGUUAAUACCCAUCAGGAAAGACAUCACUCACAGAAGAAGCACCGGCUAACUCCGUGCCAGCAGCCGCGGUAAUACGGAGGGUGCGAGCGUUAAUCGGAAUUACUGGGCGUAAAGCGCGCGUAGGUGGCUUGAUAAGCCGGUUGUGAAAGCCCCGGGCUCAACCUGGGAAUGGCAUCCGGAACUGUCAAGCUAGAGUGCAGGAGAGGAAGGUAGAAUUCCCGGUGUAGCGGUGAAAUGCGUAGAGAUCGGGAGGAAUACCAGUGGCGAAGGCGGCCUUCUGGACUGACACUGACACUGAGGUGCGAAAGCGUGGGUAGCAAACAGGAUUAGAUACCCUUGUAGUC
rnacentral:rRNA from 1 species